UUCAUUUUUGGGUGUACUAUCCCUUUAAGCAACAAGUAUACCUCACUUCUUUGACAUAUCAAGAAGGGCACUGCUCUCUUUCAAUUUUUUUAUCAUGUCUACAUUAGGCUGAUCCAGGCACCUUGCAAGACAGACAUCAGAACAUAUUUGGAUGCUUUCUCCCAUUUUAAAAGUGGCUCUCACUGCUUUGUAUUCUUCAGGAUUUGCAACUGCCAACUCAGCAAUGGGGGCGUGCAUGACAAAUGUGUUUCUGUCAACAUUCAUUUUGUUGUACGCUUCAGCUUUAGUGAAGCCACCAUUUACCAGGUGUAACACUUUGUGGUAGCGUUUGAUGGAGUCUUCAGGGUUUUUUACUGGAGGGGAAAGAAGGAUGUUGUACAAGUCCGAUAUAACAAAGAUUCUGAGGAAUCAGAAGAUUCAUCACUGGACACCUUCUCCUUGGAUGCAGCAGUAUUGGAUGAAGAUGCAGACAGUGUCUGUCCAGGAGACAUUACGGCUUCAUGCCUCAGAAGUGCUAUGACAAAGAACAAUUAGAAAUAAGUGUAGAACAAAACUACAGUAUGGACGAGGGAGAGGAAAUGGGUGUUUGGCAUUCUAGGUGUGAGGAAUAAACACAGACACCCAAUCUUGCGGCUUGUGAAAAGAAGAUCAAGAACACACCUCGUCCCCAUAUCUGUGAAACAUGUGCGUCCAGGCACUACCAUUAUUUCAGAUGAGUGGAGAGCCUACCGGGGUGCUUUGGCCAGCAUGGGCUACAGACAUUUCACAGUAGACCAUUCCCAGUGGUUUGUAGACCCACACAGUGGAGCUCACUCACAACACAUUGAAAGAGCGUGGCUGACAUACAAAAGGAACGUAUGGAGACUAAGAGGGAAUAGGACAGAGAAGAUGCUAAAAGGACACCUCUCACUCAUAGAGUGGACUCACUGGCUUGGGGAAAAACAUGAGCAGGGACCACUUGGGCGCAUAAUAAAAGACAUUUGCCAUCAAUUUCCUGUUUGGAGGACAACAAGCUGAACAUUUGUAUUUUGUGUAAGACAUAAGUAAA